rnacentral:rRNA from 1 species
UAUCUCUGUAGAGUCUGCAUAUCAAUAAGCGGAGGAAAAGAAACUAACAAGGAUUCCCUUAGUAACGGCGAGUGAAGCGGGAAGAGCUCAAAUUUGAAAUCUUCAAGGUUCUACCUUGACGAAUUGUAGUUUAAAGAAGUGUUUUCUGUUAGGAGUUAGGUAAAAGUUCUUUGGAAUAGGACAUCAUAGAGGGUGAGAAUCCCGUAUUUGACUAUUCUUUCUAGCUUUGUGAUACACUUUCAAAGAGUCGGAUUGUUUGGGAAUGCAGUCCAAAAUGGGUGGUAAAUUUCAUCUAAAGCUAAAUAUUGGCGAGAGACCGAUAGCGAACAAGUACCGUGAGGGAAAGAUGAAAAGAACUUUGAAAAGAGAGUUAAACAGUACGUGAAAUUGUCAAAAGGGAAGCGUUUGACACCAGUGUUGUUUAGUUGAAAAUCAAUUAAAUAAUUUUUGAUUUUAAGUAGUAUUGACUUCAUCAGCUUGCUGCUUUCUUUUCUGAUAUUAUUUAAUGCACUUUUCAGUUAACAAGUCAACAUCAAUUUCUUUUGUUGUAAAAGGGUAAGAGGAAGGUGGCUUGCGCUUCGGCUCAAGUGUUUAUAGCCUUUUACCUCUGCAAUCGGAGAGAUUGAGGUCUGCAGCGUAGAUCCUUCGGGGUUAGAUACAUUUGUGCUAAGCUAUAGCCUUGUAUAGACAACUUGUUGACUAUGCUCAGUCAUGUAGCUUACUCGCUUAUGCUAUUUUACCUACGCUUAGGAUGUUGACGCAUGAGAUAUACGC